GUUAAGCAGCAACAGUGUAAUCGCGUUGGUUUGUGUGGCUGGGAAUCAUCUCCAGCGUGUUUGAGCGCCGCCCGCUGGAUCACCCAGGUUCGGAUCGGGAUUCGGGACCAGGGUGGAGGAUAGGGGGUAGGUACGAGGACGUAAGCUUGAGAAAAAAGGACGAAAAUGAGAGAAAUAAAAACGAGCCGAGAGAUGGAAAUGGAAGAAAUGAGCAAGAGAUAAGGAAUAGAGAAGGUAGAAAGCGAGAAGGAGAUAAGUAUGCGAGAAGAGAAGGAUACAAAAGAACGGGAAUCUCGAAGUAGAAGAGAAAAAAGGGGAAAUGAACGAAAUGAGGGAAUAAAAGAAAACGAGAGAAAAGGAUAAGGUAGCAUAACGAA